rnacentral:rRNA from 1 species
UGGGGAAUAUUGGACAAUGGGCGCAAGCCUGAUCCAGCCAUGCCGCGUGAGUGAUGACGGCCUUAGGGUUGUAAAGCUCUUUUCUCCGGGACGAUAAUGACGGUACCGGAGGAAUAAGCCCCGGCUAACUUCGUGCCAGCAGCCGCGGUAAUACGAAGGGGGCUAGCGUUGCUCGGAAUCACUGGGCGUAAAGGGCGCGUAGGCGGCGUUUUAAGUCGGGGGUGAAAGCCUGUGGCGCAACCACAGAAUGGCCUUCGAUACUGGGACGCUUGAGUCUGGUAGAGGUUGGUGGAACUGCGAGUGUAGAGGUGAAAUUCGUAGAUAUUCGCAAGAACACCGGUGGCGAAGGCGGCCAACUGGACCAGUACUGACGCUGAGGCGCGAAAGCGUGGGGAGCAAACAGG